CAGUCGCCACGGUAAUACGUAGGGUGCAAGCGUUGUCCGGAAUCAUUGGGCGUAAAGCGCGCGUAGGUGGCCAUUUAAGUCCGCUGUGAAAGUCAAAGGCUCAACCUUUGAAAGCCGGAGGAUACUGGAUGGCUAGAGUACGGAAGAGGCGAGUGGAAUUCCUGGUGUAGCGGUGGAAUGCGCAGAUAUCAGGAGGAACACCAAUAGCGUAGGCAGCUCGCUGGGACGUUACUGACACUAAGGCGCGAAAGCGUGGGGAGCGAACAGGAUUAGAUACCCCGGUAGUCCCUGUCUCUUAUAC
rnacentral:rRNA from 1 species